UACGAAGGGGGCAAGCGUUGUUCGGAAUUACUGGGCGUAAAGGGCACGUAGGCGGCUUAUCAAGUCAGGCGUGAAAUUCCCGGGCUCAACCUGGGAGCUGCGCUUGAUACUGAUGAGCUUGAAUGCGGGAGAGGAUAGUGGAAUUCCCAGUGUAGAGGUGAAAUUCGUAGAUAUUGGGAAGAACACCGGUGGCGAAGGCGGCUAUCUGGCCCGUAAUUGACGCUGAGGCGCGAAAGCGUGGGGAGCAAACAGG
rnacentral:rRNA from 1 species